CCUACGGGUGGCAGCAGUGGGGGAUAUUGGACAAUGGGGGAAACCCUGAUCCAGCGACGCCGCGUGAGUGAAGAAGUAUUUCGGUAUGUAAAGCUCUGUCAGCAGGGAAGAAAGAAAUGACGGUACCUGACCAAGAAGCCCAGGCUAACUACGUGCCAGCAGCCGCGGUAAUACGUAGGGGGCAAGCGUUAUCCGGAAUUACUGGGUGUAAAGGGAGCGUAGACGGUGAUGCAAGUCUGGAGUGAAAGGCGGGGGCCCAACCCCCGGACUGCUCUGGAAACUGUGUAACUUGAGUGCAGGAGAGGUAAGUGGAAUUCCUAGUGUAGCGGUGGAAUGCGUAGAUAUUAGGAGGAACAUCAGGGGCGAAGGCGACUUACUGGACUGUAACUGACACUGAGGCACGAAAGCGUGGGGAGCAAACAGGAUUAGAUACCCGGGUAGUC
rnacentral:rRNA from 1 species